CUGGCAAGAACUAGGAGGGUUGGAGAAUGGUU
rnacentral:ribozyme from 1 species